rnacentral:snoRNA from 1 species
ACCCUCCAGUUCCCUUUCCCACCAGAUCAGAACACUGGUCUGGGCGGGGUAAAACGAGGAAAAGAAACAUGGAAGCUGCCCCUCGGUGCUCCUGGAGCUUGGGCUGGUUUCAAACAGGG